rnacentral:lncRNA from 1 species
CAUGCUUGAUUAAAUUCUGAUCAAGGAGGUUCUGGAAAGUAGAAGCCUCCUGUGAUACCGCACACAGGUGACAGGAGAGGUUAAAUCGUCCCCACCUGGCAGAGCACCCACUAGAGGCAAACUAGAGAGCUUACGGUCAAGGUUUUAUGAAGCUGAGAGGUGGGUGACAGUGAGUGCUACCACCUCUGUGUGUAUGUGGCAGAUCGUAUUUUGGCCAGGAACAAGCAGCUUCUCCUGCAAUGCAAUGCACCCAUUCCAUUAGUAGCAAUAUGGGAGACUGAAAGAAUUCAGUUUGCACCUCAGCCCAGCUGGAGAAGAAAACACCGGCAUUUCUGCAGGAGCAACCACUGUGAAAUUGAAAUCUGAAACUCCAGCUGCCGAGCUCUGUGCAUCAGGCUGCAUUCAGAGAUCUCUGCUGCUUCACAUGGACCAGACUGUCUGCAGCAAGGCUGGUCUUUAGCUUCCCACAGCCCUGCCCAGACCGUUUGACAAAUUGGUGUUGAAGGAGCACACAGCAAACGAUUAUUGUGUUGUGAAUGCCAUAAAAAUGACAAAU